UACAGAGGUCUCAAGCGUUGUUCGGAUUCAUUGGGCGUAAAGGGUGCGUAGGCGGCGCGGUAAGUCGGGUGUGAAAGCCCCGGGCUCAACCUGGGAAUUGCAUUCGAGACUGCGUAGCUAGGGUGCGGAAGAGGGAAGCGGAAUUUCCGGUGUAGUGGUGAAAUGCGUAGAUAUCGGGAGGAACACCAGUGGCGAAGGCGACUACCUGGCCUGUUCUUGACGCUGAGGCGCGAAAGCUAGGGGAGCAAACGGG
rnacentral:rRNA from 1 species